rnacentral:rRNA from 1 species
GACGAACGCUGGCGGCGUGCCUAAUACAUGCAAGUAGAACGCUGAAGGAGGAGCUUGCUUCUCUGGAUGAGUUGCGAACGGGUGAGUAACGCGUAGGUAACCUGCCUGGUAGCGGGGGAUAACUAUUGGAAACGAUAGCUAAUACCGCAUAAUAUUGACUAUUGCAUGAUAGUCAGUUGAAAGGUGCAACUGCACCACUACCAGAUGGACCUGCGUUGUAUUAGCUAGUUGGUGGGGUAACGACUCACCAAGGCGACGAUACAUAGCCGACCUGAGAGGGUGAUCGGCCACACUGGGACUGAGACACGGCCCAGACUCCUACGGGAGGCAGCAGUAGGGAAUCUUCGGCAAUGGACGGAAGUCUGACCGAGCAACGCCGCGUGAGUGAAGAAGGUUUUCGGAUCGUAAAGCUCUGUUGUAAGAGAAGAACGAGUGUGAGAGUGGAAAGCUCACACUGUGACGGUAUCUUACCAGAAAGGGACGGCUAACUACGUG